rnacentral:rRNA from 1 species
GACAGAGGGGGCAAGCGUUGCUCGGAAUUACUGGGCGUAAAGGGCGCGUAGGCGGGAUGGCAAGUCGGUCGUGAAAUCCCUCGGCUCAACCGAGGAACGUCGAUCGAUACUGCUGUUCUUGAGGAUUGCAGAGGAGACUGGAAUUCCCGGUGUAGCGGUGAAAUGCGCAGAUAUCAGGAGGAACACCGGUGGCGAAGGCGGAUCUCUGGGCCAUUACUGACGCUGAGGAGCGAAAGCGUGGGGAGCGAACAGG